AGUGAACGCUGGCGGUAGGCCUAACACAUGCAAGUCGAACGGCAGCACAGUAAGAGCUUGCUCUUACGGGUGGCGAGUGGCGGACGGGUGAGGAAUACAUCGGAAUCUACUUUUUCGUGGGGGAUAACGUAGGGAAACUUACGCUAAUACCGCAUACGACCUACGGUUGAAAGCAGGGGAUCUUCGGACCUUGCGCGAUUGAAUGAGCCGAUGUCGGAUUAGCUAGUUGGCGGGGUAAAGGCCCACCAAGGCGACGAUCCGUAGCUGGUCUGAGAGGAUGAUCGGCCACACUGGAACUGAGACACGGUCCAGACUCCUACGGGAGGAAGCAGUGGGGAAUAUUGGACAAUGGGCGCAAGCCUGAUCCAGCCAUACCGAGUGGGUGAAGAAGGACUUCGGGUUGUAAAGCCCUUUUGUUGGGAAAGAAAAGCAGCAGGUUAAUACCCCGCUGUUCUGACGGUACCCAAAGAAUAAGCACCGGCUAACUUCGUG
rnacentral:rRNA from 1 species